AACUGCUGUCAGUUUGGGUUCCAGAGUGAGGUGGACAGAGCAGAGCACCUAGACCUCAGCAAUGGACGCGUAGAGUAAGUAGAAAAUAAACCUAGUGUUGAGAGGGGUCGGGGAUAUCAGUCACUGCCACUUGAGUGCGGCUCUCUGGCUGGGUGGCAGGGCGGCUGUCUGCUAGACAUGCAAAAAUGUAAGUCAGAAAGAUCUUCCCUAUAAGAGCUUAAGCUACUCUUUGCUUUUUCUAAUCAACAAGUUCUUUUCACCUCAGAGCUGCACACUUUCUAUUGUACUCAUUUAGAAGCUGCUUGCCUGGUUCUUUCCAAGACUUCUUGUCCUUCAGAUUUUAUUCCUUAGAGAGACCUUCCUUGGCCUCCCCUGCCACUCCCACUCCAGCCUGUGACUGUCAUUUGUAUCACCCGUUUCUUCCUUUCACGAGGUGUGUCACAGCCUGUACUGAUCUUGUUUUCUUUCUCUUCAGUUCUGAAGAGAAAACUGUGAAGUACCGACUUCUUGUUAUCAACCAUGAUUCAUGGAUAAUGAGUAUCGUGCCACUCUAACCUUGUAUGAACUUAAGGGAUUGUGCUCAAAAUUUGGACUAUUUUCGUUCAUUAAAGAUAUUAAAAAUAGAACCUUGAACAUUCUAUUGCAUGUCACAUUUCACUCAUUUCUAAACAACAUUAAUAGAACAAGCUGUAACUAAAAUAUUGGACAGACAUCCAAAUAUUUGAAUGUGCAUCAAGAACCACUGAACCUUGGUAUUCGACUUGUCACUAUGAAGAGGUCAGCUUGACUUUCUGGGUCCUUUUCAGAGAGCUGUGGCCAGUAGCCCUAACAACCUUUGGUCUGUACCCAGUUAAAUAGUGGUUUUUGUAAUUCAUUGGCAUCCAGUUUUGCUUUGUUUGAUUUUUUUCCUCUUUGCUCAGCAUAUAUGCCAAAUGUCUUUCUUCACAGCUAUAAAAAAUUAGUCCUGAAAGCUUCAGAAAGUAUUGAAGGGCUAGCUCUUUGUUAUGCAUCUAGUGACACCGGUAUACUACCUUGUCACAUAAUAAAUAGUUCAUACUUGUUUAAUGAAUGAAUGAAAUCAGUAUUAUGAACAUACCAAAUAUUUGUUUCAUUUGACUUUACUGAGUUUACAGUCAUCAAAAACAGCAACUGGGGCCAGGGUUGUGGCUCAGUGGUAGCGUGUUUGCCUAGCAUGUAUGAGGCACUGGGUUUGAUCCCUGGCACCACAUAAAGAUAGAUAAAAUAAAGGUAUUAUGUCCAUCUACAACUAAAAAAAAAAAAACUACAUAAAAAAACCAGCAACAAUUGUAAUUUCAAAAAUGAAAGGUUUUACCUGAACAUGAAAAAGUAACAUGUUUAUUGUUAAAAAAUUUCAAAACUGCAAGACUUAAAAUCAACUGUGAAUUUCCUUGUUAUUGUCUUUAUAAGAUGUGUUAGACACCUGACAUUUGAGAAGAGAUUCAGAAGUUGUAACAUGCCCUUCUAUCAUAAAAGAGGUUAUAAAAAAGAUUCACUAGAAAUCUAUACCUCUCAGAUACUCAAUUUCAUUUCAGUUUUAGGAUCUUCUGAAAUAAUUAUUAGGAUAAAUUUAAGUCUUGAUGAGAAAAAUAAAAAUGUUUUCAAAUUGCUAAAGAAAUAAACUUGGUUUAGAAACAAAAGGAGCUCAGUUUUAACAAUAAUUCUAUUUUCUUUAACUUUCUCUUAUGUGACAGUGUGCGUUAUAAAACGGUAUCUCUUCAAAUGAGAAACAUACCCUAUUACUCUACGUCUUAUGUAACAUAAUUGGUAUAUGACAACUACAUUUUUUCUAUGUUAUUUUAUACAAAAAAUCCACAUGUGCAACUUUUGUAACAUGGAUUUCUUAGGAUGGUGCUAGGCAUUUUUUUUUCCUUCUUAAAUCGUUUCCUCAAUUUUUAAUAGAAGGUUAUGAAUGAUCUGCUACCAUGUUAUAAGAUAAUGUAAGUAAUGUCUAUAAAACUGAACAUGAAAACAUGUGUCUAUACAUGUGUGUAGGAUAGAGCAUUGGAAAAGUUGUUUUGCAUACAAGUCAUUUCUCAAUACAACACAUCCUUCCUGUUUAACUAGAAAAUAAACCAAAAUAUGUAACUUCUACAGAAAUAGUUGCUAUAGAAAUGUAAAAGAUACAAAUAACACUGAACCGUGCCAUCAAAAAUUGCAGUUUAAGUAGGACAGUAUCAACAUUUAUGUUUAAUAAUGCUGACUGCAUGGAUUCUUCUACAUUCCCUAAAAUGAAAGUGCUGAGUCCCAAGUUGGGAGGUCCUCUACUACUAAAAAUAGCACAUCUACACACACACACACACAAAAAAAAAAAAAAAAUUAGCAAACUUCCAGAUUAGAAAUUCAGUACAUAGCAAGAAAUAUUCCUUUAUAUGAAAAUUUAAUGAAUAAUGGAUUCAAAUGAUGCAAAUUACUUUUCUUCAUUUCAUUGUAUGAACUGAAAAAUAAGCUGUUUCCUACACAAGAUUUGUAGACACUUUGACUCACAGGAGUAAAUGUUUCUUCAGGUUUCUACAUGUCUGUCAUUUAAUUUGCUAAAGAGCUCAUUUUGAAAUUAUGUUCUGUGAUAGCAUUUAAGGUAACAUCAACCUUUAUGUUUGUUAAGAAAAAAGAAUCAUAGGAUGAAUCUCUUAAAACAUUUGGCUCCGUUUUGGGCUUUUUGGCAUGAUACUUAAAAUACUGAAUUGCUAACAAGGCAUCUGGUAUAUAUAAAGGUGACUGUUAAACUCUUCUUGCCUUUGAUCUUGCCAAUUAAGUUUUAUAAGAGAAAAAGUUCUAUCGGCCAACUUAAAGAUUAUAGCUUGAGAAAAGUUAUUUUAGAAGUUUGAUACAUCCUGUGUUCUAAAACUAAAAUAACCUUCCUUUUAAAAAUAUGACACUAAUAUACCCAUUCAUAUUAUAAAAUUUAACUCCUGGUUUAUGAUAUUAUCAGUACGAUCAGCUUUAAAUACACGGGAGGGUGGGUGCUAUAGUUUUGAUCUUAAAUGUUUCCCCAAGACCCAUGUGUUAAAGGGGGGAGCCUAGCAGGAGGUCUUCAGGGGGUUGGGGUAUACCCUUGAAGUAGACAAUAGGACCCUUGGCCUCCUUUUGGCUCACUCUUUAGCUUUCCUGCCACGAGGUCAGUGACCACAUGCUUCGGCCAUGAUAUGUUGCCUCAUCACAGGUCUAGAAGAAUGCAGUUAGCCAAUCAGACUGAAACCUCUAAUAUAGUGAGCAAAAUAAAACCUUCAUCUUGAUAAGUUGAUUACCUCAGGUAUUUGUAAUAGUGACAGACAUCUGACAAAUACAGAGGGGGAGAGAGAAGAAGGGAGAGUGAAAAGUGAGAGAGGGGAAAGAGAAUCCUCUUUCAGAAAAUAGAACAAUGGUCACUCCUCUACCUUUUUCCCUAUUAGUAAAUAUUGAUACCAAUUUCAAUACACCUAUUUUACCUGUAUUAUUAUUAUAAUAAAAUUCUAUCUGAAUCUGCAUCUUAGUAAACUGAGUUUUUCUGAUUCAGCUUCAAAGCACGUAGAGUAUGGGUUGCGAUAUAAGAUAGGCAAGAGUUCAGAGCCAAACUUCAAAAUUAACUGUCAACUAUGGUCAAGAUUUAAUGCUUCUGUUUUUCCAUCUGUCAUGGGAAAAACAUAUCACACAAUGAUCUAAAUUUUAUGUCAAUGUUCCAUUGAAAUUAUCUUCUUGAACACCGAUACUCUCAAUUAUCAAACUGAAUAUUUACUUGUAUUUUAACUCUUUGCAAUAUUUGACUCUACCAUUUCAUAUUUCUUUCAAUUGUCUUUUUUGGUUUCUGUGAUCUAUCCUGUCAUUUAUCUUCCUGGGUGUUCAUUAUCACUGUCUUUUUGAGGCAAUACUCUCUCUGGUGUCAAUGACCUCUCACUCUUCUCUUUGCAAAUAGUCAUUCCAACAAAAUUUCCCUACCACUCCUCCCUCCCCAUGUCUUCAACCAUCACCUAAAAACUGAUGGUCCUAUAAUUCCUCCCUGUCAGGCCUCUGACCCAAGCUUUCAGCCUGCAUAUUACUCCUAUUAGACAACUUAACUGGACUGUUCUAAGUGCCAUCCACAAUUUAUACCUACCCUGACCCAAGAUGAAAAACUAGAACACAUCCAGACUCCCAUUCUCUCACUCUGCUCUCAUAUCCUACCAGCCUAUGAUGGCUUACUGAUCCUACUUCUAAAUAAGUGUUUAUUUCUUCCACGGCCUUAGUUCAUUCCUCAUGUGUAGAGCAAGAAACUAGCCCCUGCAUUAUCCAGAUUAGUCUGUGUGUUAUAACAAAGGAUGUUUAUAACAAAUGUUGCAAGAAAAACAUUAGUGAUAUAGCACAAUAAAGAUUUAUUCCUUGCGCAUGUCACAGUCUCUUGCAGGCUGUAGAACAGAAUCUACUCUCCUCCGAUAACCAGGUUUCUUCCAUCUAAUGGCCACCUGAUCUCUUAGGUGCAUGGAGUGCCCCAUCAGAUCCUGACUUUCACCUGAUAGGCAUAUGAGAGGACAGAGGGUAAAGUUUGAUUACGGGCUUACUCUGUAUACAAUGAUGGAACAGGGACAGGAGGGCUACAAUUAAAACUCUCAUUCAACAAAGGGACUGUUAGGACAAACUUCACUAGUCCACAUCAAUUCUGAAAUCACUAUGGAAGUCCACUACCCUGAGGAGAAAGAGUCACUUGAUUAAACUUUCAUUCUCUCUGAAUAAUUCCUUUGUCCCUUUCUUCCUUAGCCCUCUUUCCUUUAGGGUUUCUUAUUGUUUAUUUAAUCCCCUUGGCCAGAGUUGAAAUAAGUAAAUCCAAACAUUUUAAAGCUAAUAAAUAAUUUCAUACAUCAAGGAGUCAAAGAUGUUCAAUUUGAUAUUUUGAAUUUUUUCACAGUGCAAUUUCUGCAAAAACUUGUUCAGCUCAUGUUGUAUUUGCUUCCAUGUCAUAGUUUCUAGCAUUUCUCUUCCUCUCUCCCCCUCUCCACCUUUCCUCUUCCUUUUAUCUGAUCUUGACCAUAGAACCAAGUCAUGUUGUUCAACUAAAAACUCUGACUGGGUUCUUCAUGUCUUCAUUUGGGAUCUGGAACCAGUUGAAUUUCCAACCAUUUUUCUAAAAGUCUUUGGACUCUUUGUUGUUUUCUAUUCAACCUGGAAAAUGGUCAGUUCUUUCUGAGAUCAUUUCUUCGUGGAAACACCUUACCCAAAGCAGCCAACAAUAGCUGUCACACACUUACACUCUGAUUCUUUUAAAUACAUCUUCUAGGGGCUGGGGUUGUGGCUCAGCAGUAGAGCGUUCACCUAGUAUGUGCAAGGCCCUGGGUUUGAUCCUUAGCACCAUAUAUAAAUAAGUUAAAAAAAAAAUAAUAAAGAUAUUGCAUCCAACUACAACUAAAAAUAAAUAUUUUAAAAAAUUAAAUAGAAUACAUCUUCUAAAUUAAUGGUCCUCAUAAUGUGAUCUGCAAAACCCAGUAAAUCCCAAACCCCUUUAGUGAAAUCAUGAGAUCAAAGUUAUUUUCAGAAUAACACUAAGAGGUUACUGGACUUUUUUUUGUUUUUUUUGCAUUUGAACUCAUGAUGCAAAUGUAAUGAUAGGAGAAAUUGUUGGUCUUUUAGAACAAAUCAAGGUAAUAUCACCAAAUUGUAGGAUUGUAUUGAUCACUAAAAAUGUCCAUUGGAUCAUUUCAUCACCAUGUUCUCAGUUUUAAAAACAAGUUGAAGUUAAGAUGACUCUGAUGAAAAAGUAAGGGAUUUACUUUACCAAUCUCAACACUUGAGUAUAGAUCUUUUAAAUAUUCUGUUGGACCAAAAGCGAAGAACACAUACAGCACUUGAGAUGCAUACCCAAGUACAAUGGUUGCCUUGAGGAAAAGCAAUGUACGAUUGUUUGAGUUGCAAACUGAUUCAUCUCUUUUUCAUAGAGCACCAUUUUUACUUGAAAGAACAAGUGAUAAACAAAAUAUGGUUAUUCAGACUUGGGUACUUGGCAGUUGCUUUCUCGAAAAUAAAUGAAGUAAGCCUGUCACUUGAAGGCAAACAACCUUACAGUAUUUGUUGCCAAUGAUAAAAUCUAAGCUUUCAAGUAAAAAUUAGAAUUUAGAAAACUUGUAUACACCACCAUGAGCUUGACAGCUUCUGAAUACUUAAAGACUUUUUUUCAUGAGAUCAAUGGCAAUAUUAACAAAUGUGAUUUUUAAAAAUUUUUACAUAAUGAAAUGCACAAUGGUAAAACUCAGUAAAACAGUAUUUUCCAAGUAACCAAUGUAAGACAUUACAAAAUCAUACAUAGGUAAAAGAUUUAUUUAAAAUGAAAAUAAGUCAAUAGAUUUUAAUGUAAUAGAGUGUGAAAGUUCAUUGAUAUGGUUUUGGAUUUCACAUUGCAAUGAAAUUUUAAGAAAUUAUCACUUGGGAUCUAUACUCAGUAGAAGAGCAUAUGCUUAGUGUGGGCAAGGUCCUAUACUCAAUCUCCAGAAAAGAAAGAAAGAAAAGAAAGUAUCACUUGUUAAGUUGGGAUGUAGUAUCAUAGAAUAUCUGCAGUUAUCUAAAAAGACUAAAAAUAUGUUCCUUCAAAAGAAGUAUGGGUCUUGAUUCUAGAUGUCUUCUAUUCGGAUAGACAAUAAAGGGUUUUGAAAAAAUAUAAAAUGAUGCCAUUCUUUUCAUUUUUUGCAAAUGCGAUUAUAAUAAAAAUUGUUAUUGAUGUUAGCAUAAUGGAUGUAUUAUUAUUUUUGACUCAUUAAUUUUUUAAAUUUCUCAGUUUAAUUUUAUUAUUAUAAUUCUUGCUAAAUAUAACACAUAAAACACAUAAAAGCUUUUUGUGAGCUUCAAUAGUUUUUAAAAGGAUAAAGGAGUUCUGAGAACAAAAGUUGGAAAAUACCUGUUCUAGAAAGGAGAUUGUCAGACUUUGGCCUGAAGGUAAAUACCAGCUUGCUUUCUGUUUCUUAAAUAAAGUCUUAUUGGAACCCAGCCCAGCCAUUUGCUUACAUGUUGCCAUGGCUGCUCUCCCAAUGUGGUAGAUUAAGUAGCUCCAACAGAGAUUGUAUUACUUUCAAAGUCAAAACCUGAAAUAUUUAUUAUCUUACCCUCUACAGGAAACACACACACACACACACAUAUACACCACUGACCCCUACCCUAUACCUUUGGUUUAAUCUUAGCUGCACAGUUAGAAUCACCCAGAAAACUGGUUAAUCCCUCUGCAUCCAACCAGGAUAUGAGAGAAAAGAAAGAACAUAGAGGAUUAUGUAGGAGGCAUUUCAUGGGCAAGGUCUGGAAAGGCAUACAUAACUCCCUUGGCCAGAAAUUAAUUACACUGGUCAUAACAAACCAAAAAGAAGGUGCAAAAUAUAGUCUUCCUCUCUGCUAAAGAGGGAAGAAAUAGUAAACUUAUUUCUCUGGACUGAUCUUUGAGAUAAAUCCUAAGGGAAAAGUAAGGAUUUUCCAGAUAGACAAGGAGUAGAGAGGACAGAAAGUUUCAUAAUGUGGCUGGGGUGCUCCUAAGAAGAGCCAUGGAAUACUUAUGGAAUCUCAGAAGAAUUUUUAUGAAUUAAUUAUAUUAGAAAUCUUAAGAGAUUUUUUUUUUCCUGACAAAACUGCAAAGAGAGCAUGUUAUAUAGGCUGGCUGCAGUUAGAUCAGGCAGACACCGUAUGGCACACAACUUCUAGAUUCCCUCUUCUAUUUCUUAUCUUGAAAUUUAAAACAUCUAAUUUGGGCUGGGGUUGUGGCUCAGUGGUAGAGCGCAUGCCUAGCACAUUCGAGGCCCUGGGUUCUGUCCCCAGCACCACAUAAAAUAAAUAAGUAAAUAAAAUAAAGGUAUUGUGUCCAACCACAACUAAAAAAUAAAUAUUAAAAAAUCCAACUUGGUAUUUAUUUUAUUGAAUUACACUUGACCUUUCUUUGCCCUCAUUAUUUUAACAGGUUCCCAAAGAAGUUUCUGGUACCCUUCUUCUUAGAUAAAGGUUGAGAGUUUUUAUUUCAUUCAUUUAUUUUCUCAAAAAAAUUUAUCAAACGUGUACUUCAAUAGAACUUAAUUGUGCAGGAAGAUUGAUAGUAAUAUAAAACCCCCAAAGGAAAAUGGACAAGUUUCUAACCUUCGUUUCCAAUAUCUUUCCAGCACAGAUCUCCUGUUUAUUUCAAAGAGCAAACCAAAAUGAGGAGGAAAACAGAGAAAGUGAUAAUGACAUUGAAUAUUGCUACCAAACAAGGAUUUUGCAUGUUCCUCAUUAACUAAAUUUCUGCAAUUUCCUAAAUGUGUGAAGGUAUAGCAGACCUGUAACUUCAACUUAGACCUGUAAUAACCUACCAGUGAACAGAGUUUAUAUGAAUCACUUCAUUUGUAUGUGUUUAUUUAAUUUGCCUACAACAACUGAAGAAAAAUCAGUCCUUUCAUAAACAUUUCAAGUUUAAGAUAAGAAAUUUACAUUGUAAAACUACUUUAUUGUAAUUCCUUUAAAUUUCUCUUGAAAAAGAGCACUGGUUUGUUUCACAUGCUAGCAUUCAAGUGUUCCAUGUAAGAUUCAUAGCCAACUUAAUUAUGUGGACAUGAAUCUUUCCCAUAAAUUAAAUAUUCCUAAAUCUGCACAUCUUAUGUUAACUAUAGUGUUCAGCAAUAUAUUUUACUCAAUAUAUCUGUUACUUAUGAAUUGUGGUCUUCUAAAUAAUUUACUAUUCAUAGGAUCAGUUGGGUUUUUGGCAGUAUUAAGAUUGAACCCAGGGCUUCCUUCCUGUGAAUUACACCCCCAUCGCUUUUUUAAAAUUUUGAGACAGGAUCUUACUAAGAUGCUGAGGCUGCCAUCAAACUUGGGUUGCCCCUGCCUCAGUCUCCUAAGUAGCUAAUUACAGGGGCCACCCUAAGUGGCUGUAACGAAUAUUUUAUAUGAUUCCUGUCUGUUUUAUAGAGGUUAAACCAUCCAACGGUGCCCAAUUUUAAUAUAUGUCAAGCAUUUCUGGAACAACAAUUAUUUUACACCUAGUAGGGUGAAGAAAAUUUUAUAAAGAAAGGCUUAUACAAUAAUUAUCAGUGAUUGAUACAGUAAAAUUUAUUCUGAACACAGGUACAUAAUUUUUAAUGUCCAAAUCCUAACUAUCAAUAAAUGAAGUUUUUUGAACCUUUUCUCUUUCAUCAGGAACUUCCUUCAGCAUCUGGCAAGCAUUGGACUCCUGCUUUCCCUGUGGCUUUGUUCUCCUGCAUGCUGAAUAUUAAUAGUAAUUAUCUAUUGUCCUCAUCCUUACCUACCAACACAUUAUCAGCUUCCCGUGGGCAUUGAUUCUGUACUAUGGAGUCUAACCUUCUAACCACAGUGGUACUGAGUAACCAGGGAAUUAUCCCCCUAGGAGAACAGGAGCUCUUUUCACCUCUGAGUCAAUAAUCAUUAGAAGCAACCAAUAUAUUGUCAAGCUUAACAAAUCACAAUUGGGAUAGAGACCAUUGCAAUGAGGAAGUUGCAAUUAUCCAGCAAUUAUGUAUAGAUAUAUCUAUUCUUCUAAUGAUUGAGUCACACAAAAUGUGCCUACACUUCUGCUAAACUUAAUCUGGAAGGUUUCUAAAACUUGUUUUCUUUUUUUUGUUUGUUUUAAUGUAGAUUUCAGAAUCCUAAGAAGCAAUUGCAUCUGAAUGAAAUAGUAAUGACAAAAUUUAUGAAGCGGAAAGAAGAGUAAUUCAUUCACCUGACAUGAGCUUAAUUUCUUAAAGGAGGGAAGGGAAAUUUCCAAGUUCUCUCCCCUAAUAGAAGAUGGCCUGAACUGCCAUGAAAUUUUUAGCCAUCAGAAGAGUGCCCACUUUAGCAAAUAAUGAACAUGAAUACCUAACAUUUUAGGAAUGCUUUUAGCUACAGGUAAUGAACAGAAAGCCUGACUAGAGUGGCUUUAAAAAAUUAAGGAGCAUUUUUCUCCCAUAAUGAGAAGUCCAGAGUUAGCAGUGCAUGGCUUAUUCAGCAGAUCAGUGAUGCCAAAGAGUCUGAGAUCUCCUUGACCUUGUUCUCACAAUUACAACAAAUCUGUUGCAGCUUCCACAAUUAUAUCCCCUUUCCAACAAGAUGACAGAGAAUGAAGCCGAUAGAAAAGGAAUUGCCAAUAUCUGAAAGUAAAAGUUUUAUGAGAAAGCUCCCAGAAAAUUUCUGUUUAUAUCUCUUUGGCCAUAGUUUUGUUCCAGAGUCACUCCUGGCAGAGAGAUGGCCAGAGAGAGGAAAGGCAAAGAAAAAAGCAAAGGCAGCUCAUGGCAUCCAGACAUUGGCCAGAUACUCAUACCCAGGCACUGAUGUUCAGAAGAUACUCAUACCCAGGCACUGAUGUUCAGAAGAUACUCAUACCCAGGCACUGAUGUUCAGAAGAGUGUUUUACUUUUGAUCUGAAAUGUCCCCCCAAAACCCAUGUGCUAAAGGCUUGGUCACCAGCCCAGGGUGCCUAUCAGGGCAGGAGAAACUUUGGGAAGUUGGGCUAAUUGGAAGCAAGUUAGAUCACUGGUGAAUGCCCUUGGAGGGGAUUUUGGCCCCUUUCUGUUUUUGCUUCCUGGCCUCCAUGAGGUGAGCAGCUCUUCCACCAGGUGCUCACACAGGCUCGAAGCAACAGAGCAAAGAAAACAGACUGGAACCUCUGAAACCAUGAGCCAAACAAACCUUUCCUCCUUUAAGUUGAUUUUCUCAGGUAUUUUGUCACAAAGACAGAAAAUUGACUAACACAAAGAGUUAACCCAGCUUUCACAAAUAGUCCUUGGCGAUCUCCGGUUCAACGGAAACAGGUUUCCAUUUUUUAGAGCUGAGUAAUAUUCCAUCGUGUAUAAAUGCCACAUUUUUUUUUAUCCAUUCAUCUGUUGAAGGGCAUCUGAGUUGGUUUCACAGUCUAGCUAUUGUGCUACUCCAAUCAUACUUCUGAAGUGGAUUAAACCUCACUGUCACAAUAAUAAUAAGUCAUAAAGGUACAGAUCUCAGGGUUGAGAAGGCUGAGGAGUGCAUUUGCUGUUUCUGAAUCCCUCAACUAAAUUGCAUAAUUUGACACACUAUCUAGAUAGCCACUAAAUAAAGCAAAGUUGUACAUUAUAGUCAUUCUUAGACUGCCUAAGAACUAAGCUUUUUAAAAAAUUCAUGGUUUCCCAUUUAUGAAGUAAGUAUGUAAGAUACAUAAAGAUAAAAACCAAAAAUAUUCAUUAUCUCUAGAGUAAAAGUUUUGUAAAAGUGAUCCUUCUUUGUUUUCAGUUUGAAUACCAGAGAUAAUCAAUUGAAAUAAAAAUAUGGAUAGUUAAAUUCAUUUGAAUAAGUGAUGAUAUUAUGUACAAAUUACAAUGUUCAGAGAACUUGGCUAUAUUUCCUUUUUUAAUAAACUAAAAGGUGGUUUUAAAAGCCAGCAAAUAUAAAAACAGAAUCUAAAUUCUAACUUGAGAAAGUAGAAGAAACACCUAUCUUCAUUGAAUGAAUACAGAGGUAUUUUGAAGAGCUCUGUAAGCAAACCACACAGACAUUUUAAAAGAAACCACAGGGAAAAGCAACUUGUUUCCUAAUGCUUGUUCAUUCUCAAGAAGUAAAGCCUUGCAAAUCAUCAAAAGGAUGUGCAAAGAAGUGCCAGUCUGAAAAAUAAAUUAAUAUUAAUACAGUAAAAAAAAGAAAGAAACAGGUUUCCAUAUCACCAAUAUUGGAGAACAUGAUGAAGAAAGAAGGAUGACAAACCCAAUUAAGCAUCUUGUUGAACAAAGAGACAUGGUUAUUGUGCCACCACAAAAAUACCAAACAUCUGAGCACCCUGGCUGAUUUGAGGAACUUGCUUUUCUUCCAACUUUGCCUUCUGCGUUGCUUUACUUCUGCCAUCUUAGAAAUGUUUAAACCAGAGCUAUCCCGAGUUCCUGAAAGUGUCCAAUCCAGAACAAAACCACUUCUUUAAAUUUUCCUUCUGAAUCAACUACAUCCAUGCUUUCAGACACCCUCUUGCUAAAACACUACACACCACCACAUAUGUGGUGUGUAGUCUCCUUUUUACUAAUUCCAGUAAUAAUUCGAACUCCUUCAACUCUCAGUAUGUUCCUGGUGAUCUAUGGCUGGUUGAUAGCACAUUGAGUGGACCAAAUAAGUAUUUGUCACCUUUUUUUUUUUUUCAUCCCAGUCCAUUUUUAACUAAAAUGAUGUGCUUUAAUAUGGCAUGCUUCAAACUCCUUAACAAGAAAAGGAAAUCAGGAUAGAGCAAACAGAGCAUAUGAUUAACAUUCAGAGGCUAAGGCUCUCGUCAGCUCUAUCCUAUUAAUAACACAAGUGACCCUGGGCAAGCCAUUAAAGGAAAGAAGAGAAACUGACCUCACAACAUCCAGUGAACCUGCCAGCAUUAAUAUGCUUGAGAGAUGACAAAACUAAAGCUCCAAACAAUUAAGUAUUUUAUUCUUCUAUUUACAUUUGUGAGCGGGAAAAUCAAGAUUCAAACCCAGGUAUGUAAGUCUAAAUUUGAAAACCUUUUCAUUUCACUGAGGUGCCUCAUGAAGUCUGAAUUCCUUCCCUAUGAACUGACUAGGUUGUUGCACUAGGACUUAAAAGGCCCUUUCCAUUCAUUAUGCAAGGAUUCUGAAUGAUGAAUGAUAACAUUUAUAUUUACUCUUUUUAGCACCACCUGAUCUGUAGAUGAAAGGUGCAAGAAUAAUGUGAGGUGAUAUAUGUUUAUGGAAUUUUGAAUUUCAGCAAGCCCUUUUCUAAACAGCAUAAAUCAUGGAUUUGAUCUACCACUUGAACUUCCAUGCGAAAUCAAUUUUCGGUUCCUUAUGAUUUAAAAAUAUGAGCACCUCACUUAAAGAAUUGUGUGAGAAGCUGUACAAAGAGGAGCUGGGAAAAGGGAAGACUCACCUUGAUUUUUAUCCAAGGAAGUAACCUCAUUUUCUAUACUUAAACCUUAACAUUUGCACAGUCACGUGGAACGUCUUCACCAGGAAGUGACAGACAAUACAGGAAAACAUGAUCAAUCACAUGAUUAAGAAAAAUAAAAGUUGUAUGUGUUUUAUCAAUUAAGUAAAUAGUCUUAAAGGAAAGGAUAGCAGUGUUGAGAAGCUGGAAAAACAGGCACUGAGUUACUAGAGGAUGGAAUGGCAUUUUGUAACUUUCCUUUUGGAUAGCAAUUUGCAAUUGGCAGCAAACACUUCUAAGAUUUUUGCAUAUCACAUUUGACCUACAAUUUCAUUCAAAAAACAAUUAUAGAUGUGUACAAAGAUUUUUGUCACAAAAAAUGUUUGUAGAAAUAUUAUUUAUAAUUGGCAAAAAUCAAUACAAAGCUAAAAGGUUUAUAAUAGAAGAUUAGUUAAAUUAUAGUUUAUUCAUGUAAUGGAAACUUGUGUGGGUAUUC
rnacentral:lncRNA from 1 species